CUCAGAUUCCAUAAUCUAUACGAAAUUACGAUUAUAUUUUAAAUUGAGUAAGUGUACAAAUAUUAAAAAUAUCUACUGCUCAAUUAUAUUUGAACCGUAUGAAGUCUGGGGGAUAUUUUACUGGUGGGGUGUUUAUUAGUUGCCCUCGGCUAAUAUUUUUGACAUUAAAACAAUAUACCAGUUACCCUCAACAAAAUAUACUAGUUGCUCAAACAUGGGUAAUAUUCAGAGUAGUGUAUUCUGAAUACUUUUAAAAUAAUUUUUUUCAGAAGUAUUCAAUGCUGUAUCAUGCAUAUUUUUAGAAAGUAUGUAAUCCCUUAAAAAAAUAUUUUUUGUCUCGUUUUAGAAUAUUUUUCUUUCUACAAGAAAAUUGUGAAACAAUUGCAUAUUAUAAUGGUGUUAUUUGAUGGCGCAAAUCGUUAUCAAACAAAAUUUGUUUCAGAAAUGUACAAUUAUUUAUCUAAAAGUACCACAAAACACUUGAAUUCUUAAAUGAUGCACCAACCGUAAUAAAAACAUUUAUUAAAUUCAACACAUUGCUACCCAGCAGUG